rnacentral:sRNA from 1 species
GAGUUCGCUGCGCGCUGUUGGGGGCCACCUGUCUUUUCGCUUGUGUCCCUCUCUCUAGUGUCGCGCUCGAGUCCCGACGGGCCGCUCCAAGCCUCGACAUGUCGUACAACUACGUGGUAACGGCCCAGAAGCCCACCGCCGUGAACGGCUGCGUGACCGGACACUUUACUUCGGCCGAAGACUUAAACCUGUUGAUUGCCAAAAACACGAGAUUAGAGAUCUAUGUGGUCACCGCCGAGGGGCUUCGGCCCGUCAAAGAGGUGGGCAUGUAUGGGAAGAUUGCGGUCAUGGAGCUUUUCAGGCCCAAGGACCCUCAGGGGCGGCACGUAAAAACCUAUGAGGUGUCUCUCCGAGAAAAGGAAUUCAAUAAGGGCCCUUGGAAACAGGAAAAUGUCGAAGCUGAAGCUUCCAUGGUGAUCGCAGUCCCAGAGCCCUUUGGGGGGGCCAUCAUCAUUGGACAGGAGUCAAUCACCUAUCACAAUGGUGACAAAUACCUGGCUAUUGCCCCUCCUAUCAUCAAGCAAAGCACGAUUGUGUGCCACAAUCGAGUGGACCCUAAUGGCUCAAGAUACCUG